rnacentral:rRNA from 1 species
UUGUUAAAUGCGCCGGCUGUGUGCCUGAGACGUGAUGGGACCCCGUUUUUGGGGGAUUUGGUGAUCCUAUGCUGCCGAGAAAAGCAUCGGCGUGAGGUUUUAGCCGCCCGUACCCUAAACCGACACAGGUGAUCAGGUAGAGAAUACUAAGGCGAUCGAGAGAAUCAUGGUUAAGGAACUCGGCAAAAUGCCCCCGUAACUUCGGGAGAAGGGGGACCUUGAGCGUGAUGGGCACUUGCUGCCUGGAGCGUGUAUGGGUCGCAGAGACCAGGGGGAAGCGACUGUUUAUCAAAAACACAGGUCCGUGCGAAGUCGUAAGACGAUGUAUACGGACUGACUCCUGCCCGGUGCUGGAAGGUUAAGAGGAGUGGUUAGCUUCUGCGAAGC